ensembl:lncRNA
CACAGUCACAAGGAAACACACCCUUCACUCGUGCGCCGGUGCCUCCAGUGUCAGAAGACAGUGUUUAACAGAGGCGAUUUACAAGACCUGAACAACUCUACCUACAGACGUGAUCUGUGAUUUUCAACACAAAGCCCUCACAUCUCAUGAGACUGGUUGCAUUAUGAGAGCUCGCUACCUGUUCCUAUUGGUUUACCUACUGGGGAGCUCCUUUGCAGGAUCCAGUGCACAGAGUAAUGGAGUAUGCACAAAAGAUGCCUGCACACAGGUCCCAGACGCCACCUCGAACUUCUUACAGUGUGUGGGCCUGCCUUCGACAGACACGGGCGCAGAUGAAAUGCGAAAGCUGAAAGGAAUUCUUGAAGCCACAAUGGAUGUGUACACGUUUAUGAAAUCAAGCAUGACAAGAGGACCAAUUUUGAGUGUGGAGGGCGCUCUGGAAUUAGACUUGACUGCAGACGCUCUACAAAAUCAAGAUCUGGUCAGGAUGUGGUUGGAGGUCAACAUGAAACCGCUCCUGAAAUCCAUCACCAAGCAGUUCUUGUCCUGUCUCAGCACCAGGAACUUCAGCUGCUCCACCUACCAGACUGUAGUGGAGGAGCUCAGUCAACACUAUUCUGAGAUGGAUCCAGUCAGGCAAAAGUGGAUCUACACAUUCUUUAUGUACCCGUUCCUGUCUUCGGCAACAGUUGAUGGCUGUGUGAGGCCAGAUGAGGGCAGUGUGGAGUGGCUGAUGAAGAACUUUGGUGCCUUCAGUGUCAUGGCCCGCUUGAAGGACUUUUCAGAGCUCAAUGAGGUCUUCAAUGGACUGGAGGUUCUUAACUUGUUGUCUCCAGCACAAAAGGCCGAGCUGCUCAUGAGCCCUUAUGUUGCCAGUUUAGACAAUGGCACAUUAGCCUUGGUCUUCCACAGUCUGCUAACAGGGGAAUCUGGCCCAUCACCCACUGCUGGCCCUGGAUGGGGCCCCAACUGGACAACCCCUGGGUACCCACCCUCCUAUCCAGUACAGCUGUCACAUCAGCCAGGCCUCCAACAGGUCGUAAAUGGAUUCAUGUCAGCCUUCAAACCCAUCGGGAGCUUUGUUCAUAAUUUUGUGUCCUUCACACGUGAGAGAAAUCCGUCAAAUAUAAGAAGCACCACUUUGACCCAGUUCCUGCUCAACUGGACUCUUUCUGAGCUGGCUGGCAAAUACCAGCCAAGCGCACCUGAGGUCCCAGAGGGACCUAACUUUGAUGUGACAAAUGUAGUAGACUGGUAUCAUUACGUUGUGAAGCCGCUGUUACGGAGGUUUUUGCCCGAUGAAGAACUCCUGAUGCAUGAAAACAUCACGCUCGCUUUCCACGAAGUGUUCCGUCUGGACAACAGUAUGGACAACAUGACGGUGAUUGAAAUCCAGGAUGUCUGUAGCAUCACCCUCGAUAAGAGCCCUUGCGGGCUGACCGACGCGGUGGCAAACGUGGCUCAUGUCUUGCACUGCGCUGCUCGUAACAACCUGACCAUGACAGAAGCC